AUUUUAAAACUUGCUGUAGAUUCUAGUGGGUUUUUUUGUACGACUAUAAUAGGUUGUAGAUUUUAUUUAUUUAUUUAAAUUUAGCUUGAAACCACUUUAUAGUUUUAUUGCACUAGGUGAUUAGCUGUAUUUUUGUGAUCCACAGCCACGUGUCGAGGUGAAAGCAGAAACGCAGACCACAGCACAGAGACCUCAGAGAGACCAGAGACCACGCGAUCAAAGACCAGGACCCUCUCCAGCCAACAGAACCGCAAGACCAGGAGCAGUGCGGGAGGGUGAGAGCGGGGAACCAGAGGUGCGGCGAACAGUCCGGUAUCCCGACAGCCACCAACUCUUUGUUGGAAACGUACCUCACGAUGUGGAUAAGAACGAGCUCAAGGAGUUCUUUGAACAGUACGGCACUGUCCUUGAGCUGAGAAUCAACAGUGGUGGAAAGCUGCCUAACUUUGGAUUCGUGGUAUUUGAUGAUGCUGAGCCCGUGCAGAAGAUCCUCAGCAAUCGGCCUAUUAAACUGCGAGGUGACGUUCGGCUGAAUGUAGAGGAAAAGAAGACCCGCUCGGCCCGUGAAGGUGACAGGCGGGACAUCCGCCCCAGAGGCCCGGGGGGACCACGCGACAGGGUAGGCGGGUCAAGGGGACCGCCCGCCCGUGGAGGCAUGGCUCAAAAACCCAGUUUUGGAGCCGGUCGAGGCACAGGACCCAGCGAGGGGCGUUACGCAGGACCACGUCAGUGAGGCAGCUCCCACGUCAUUCACUGCUGAUGCAAGUCACCCUGGUUAACACAGACGGCUUCCCUGUUCCCCUGUCUCCAUCCCUCACUCCAGGACCCAGGAGUGUGAUUAUUCUUCUUUAUCUGGACUCUUCCUUUUAUUUCUGAGAUU